CUUUGAACGAGUCCCAAAUAGGACGAAACGUUCGUCUUAAAU
rnacentral:hammerhead_ribozyme from 1 species